ensembl:snRNA U6 U6 spliceosomal RNA
GUGCUCGCUUCAGUAACACAUAUACUACAACUGGAACGACACAGACAUUAGCCUGGCCCCUGCGCAAGGAUGACACACAAAUUCAUGGAGCGUUCCAUAUUUUU